rfam:Oryza barthii chromosome 8, whole genome shotgun sequence.
AAAGACUCGAUUCCUGGGUUUUCGUAUCCAACGUUUGACUAUCCGUCUUAUAUAAAAUUUUUUUAUGAUUAGUAUUUUCAUUAUUGUUAGAUGAUAAAAUAUGAAUAAUAUUUUAUGCGUGACUUAUCUUUUUAAAAUUUUUUUAUAAUUUUUUCAAAUAAGACGGACGAUCAAACGUUGGACACGAAAACCCAGGAAUUGAGUUAUU